rnacentral:lncRNA from 1 species
CAAUUUUAAUUGAAGUCUUUGGAGAUGCCAUUUAUAAUGCUAUUAUGUGAAUUUGCAAUGGAAAAGUUACUUGAGCAAGCUUGUUGAAACAGAGCUAUAAUGCCACUAUAAUGGAAAAUUUUGAUGGUGAAAUUAUUCCAAGUUCCUAGGGACUGGUGAUUAUCAUAUAAAACUACCAACCAUGAAAAUAUGCCCCCUCAAUAAUAAAUCAUGCGAUAGAUAGUAUCUACUGAUCAAAGAAUAUCUUUCUCAUAGAAUGAG